CCUACGGGAGGCAGCAGUGGGGAAUAUUGGACAAUGGGGGCAACCCUGAUCCAGCCAUGCCGCGUGAGUGAUGAAGGCCUUCGGGUUGUAAAGCUCUUUUGGCGGGGACGAUGAUGACGGUACCCGCAGAAUAAGCCCCGGCUAACUUCGUGCCAGCAGCCGCGGUAAGACGAAGGGGGCUAGCGUUGUUCGGAAUUACUGGGCGUAAAGCGCGUGUAGGCGGUUUGCCAAGUCGGGUGUGAAAGCCUUGGGCUUAACCCAAGAAAUGCACUCGGUACUGGCAGACUAGAGGACCGGAGAGGAUAGUGGAAUUCCCAGUGUAGUGGUGAAAUACGUAGAGAUUGGGAAGAACACCAGUGGCGAAGGCGGCUAUCUGGACGGUUUCUGACGCUAAGACGCGAAAGCGUGGGGAGCAAACAGGAUUAGAUACCCUGGUAGUCCACGCCGUAAACGAUGGGUGCUAGACGUUGGCGAGCUUGCUCGUCAGUGUCGCAGCUACGUACGUAAGUCACCCGCCGUCGGGAGGUACGGCCGCGAGGUAGAACGUACGAAGUAGAAGUUAGACGGCGUGUAAGACGUGCCGACGGACGACGACGAGGGAGGUUAGG
rnacentral:rRNA from 1 species